CAGGCCGCGCCGCCAUCUUGGCGGGGCCCUGAGUGCUGCUUUUGACCCAGCCUUGGGGUGUUGAGGUGUUGGUCUGUGGCCAGGUGCUCAUGCUGUGCUGAGGAGUGGCCUCAGCUCUUGUAAGAACCGGGUUCUGGGUGCUGCAGAGGUCCCAUCACCCCUGGGUUCUGUGCAGCCCAACCACAGUCUCUGCCUCAGGAGAAACAGAAAGUGAAGAUGCCUGCAAGGGAAGUGAGAAUUCUCCCUUUGAAAAGAACAGCAGGAAGGGAACCUGGCCAGUGAGAGCGAGACAAAGAAGAACACAUACACAGACAUCUCCUGGGUAGCCAAUAAACUACCUAGGAUCUGGAAGUGAAAUGGUUAAAAUUGUGUUGAAAACUGAAGUCUGGAGUUUAGCAAGUAAAAGAUGGCUCCCAACAUAGGACCCUAGGAAAAAUGCGUUUGUCUGAAGGCAGUUUUUACCCUGCCCGCAGUCUUGGGGAUAGCGCGGGAAUUGUAACAGGAAUAGUUCCAAAAUAUGUUCGUCAGUUUGAAGAGCAAGAAGGAGAUGUUGAUGUGCUACUGGGCGAGGUUCUGCUGCCAUCAGAGAGUAGCCUUCAAAAUGGGGAUUUCAUUCUAGUUAAGCCAAAACUAAUGUAGAAAAAUUUCCAGUUAGAAGCAACUUAUGAAACUGGAUAGACCCUAUUAUCCACUGGGGACUAGGCACUGAAAACAUUUUAUUUAUUUCCUCCAUAUGAUGUAUCUCACUUGAAAGAAAUGAAAUGACUUGUAAACCUACAGCUUUUCAACGGGGUUGAGUCAUGCUAGAGACUGAUGAGAAGUUGGAUGGGGGCGGAGGAGGAGGGAAAGUAAUUCUGGUAAUGUGGAGACCUUGUCAUUGUGUGGCAAAGUUUGAGUUUUAAGAACCAUGAUUAUGCUUGAGUGAAAUUUUUGCACGAUGUGUAUGAUACAUGGUGCUGAGCUGUGUUGGAAGCUGAAUAAAUAGAUUGAGUAAGUACUUAUCCAGGCAUGGUCACGUUGUUUUAGCAGAGGUAGCAAAGUCUGAUGGCUGGAAACAGCCAUUCUUUAGGAAAAUGGGGAGCUGCUUUAAAAGAGCCAAAAUAAUAUAAAAGCACAAUUUAAAACCCCUGAGCCACAAACCCUGUAACCCACAGCAUUCAGUGGCAGAGGUACAGAACACUUUAUGUAAUUAGAUUCCAGGUACAAAGAGCUCUGCAUUUCACAAAAUUUCAGUUAUCUUCUGAACAACAACAACAAAAAGCUAUUGUUUCUUCUUGUCCUGUUUCAUCUCCUUGUUUGAAUAUAAAUCCAAAGAGAGUUCCUCCUUCUCAGACAGCUCUUUUUUUCUCCUUCUUUAAUAUGCAGAAUAAACAAUAUAAAGUGGAAAUAAGUGAGGUAUAAAUAAAGGAAAAAUAUCUGUCUUAUGACUGCUCUGUCUCAAAACCUUCAUCUGUAGUUGGGUAAAAGAUUCUUUUUGGAGAGGAAGGUGAUGGUUGGAAUGAGGUUAGGUGGGAUAAAUGUGUAAUUCUAUUGUUAUAUUUAGCAUUGCAGUAUCUGCGAGCCAAGAGAAAGGUAGCAGGGUACAGAUGUGCAAAAGAGGAAUAUUUAAGUGUUGUUGGGCCCUGUUUGAGGAGAGACCAUAUGAGUGAAUGAGGUCAACAGAAGGGUAAAAAUAGACAGUGUGAAAAAGGGGUGGAGUGACAAGAACCCCUUGCAAAGUGUCCACAGGGUGUGAAGGGAGAAGGAAGAGGAAGAACAGACCACUGAAUGGAGCUGUAAAAAAAAAGGGCAAGGAGGAAGCCCACAGUAUAAACUGUACCAAUCUGAGUUUUAGAGAGAGAUGGUUAAUUUGUGAUGUCAAAGAUAUCAGUGGGGGUGUGUAGAAAUUUGGAGAAGACAGUGUUGUCUCUUAAAUUUACAAAGGUCAGCAGUGAUGCCUGGGACAGCUGUUUUAUCAGAAGCUUGAAACUACAUUUCUGUAGACAUGAGGUGGAGACUCACAGCAGCUUCCUGAGUGAAGAGAUUCCCAUUUUUAACCUUCUUUGCCUUUAACAAGUUAUGAUCAUUUCAUGUCUUGCAACAGACACCCUCCAGCUUUUCAUUAAGUGACUAAUAUUCUUGCACUUUAUACAGUCAUAAAUAAUGUGUUAGACAUGACCAUUCCUGGCAGAGCUCCAAGUUCUUUUCCACAAAGAAACAUUUGUUUGCCUUCUACCUAAUAAUAAUCAAAGCGAUGAAGACACUGCUGUAGUAUUUUUGAAGUAUUUGGGGUGUUUACUGCAAUGUAAUACAUUCACUGCUCAUUGCAUACUCCAGAUAAUUUACUUUAAGGACGAACACCAGCCUCUUUCCUGAACUCCCUUCCUCCAUUCACCUUUCACUUUGAGAAGAAUCCUUUCCAAAGUAAUCAGCUGGAUCUGACCCAAGUACAAAUACGUUAAAUUAUGCCGUUGUUCUGUUUUCCUGAAGUAUUUUUUUUCCAACCCCCCACCCCCUUGUUUAAUACCAACUCGUUUGAUCCUGUACCCUUGGCUUUGUAGUACAUAGAACAUACAUUUAUUUUAGCCAUGUAAUUAUUUCUGUGUAUUUAAUUUCAGUAUCACUUUUUGUCAUUUGUUUUCAUAAACUUUUAAACAGUUUCAAACUGGUAACAUUUUCAAAGCUCAUGCUUUCUAUGUUUCUGGUGCCUGAAAUGACACCUUAGUAUAUCUACAUCCACAUAUACAAUUAAACAUCUUAACUUAGAGACUGGUUUAAGAUGGGAGAAAAGUAGUAUGGAAAACUUGUCAUUCGUAGACACCAUGGUAAUUCCCUCCAUUUAUAUUAGAACAGUUCAUGGAGACAGUGAUGAUUUUAAAUAUUUUCUCUUAAAUAACUGAAAAGCUACUAUUGCUCUAGAACAUAGAAUGUGACCACUGAUUGCCGUUGUACACCUGUGCUCUGCCUGCUCUGGAUGAAAGGUCCUGAGAAGUAAAAAGUGUGUGAAAACAGUUUACAUCCCUGGAUCUUUGAUUCUUUAAGGUGACCAGUGCACUGAAUGGGAUUGAAAAUAUUCUCCAUAAGCAGAGAGAGUAUUUAGGAAAGUAGAUGAUGAAUGAUUUCUUACAGUGAUACAACCAUUAAAAUCUGUCUGUUUCUUGGAUAUUAACAGAUCAAAUUGGGUUUGUUCCCUGGGAAAAGGGACCAGUCUGUUGGGUUGCAUCAACCAGGAUUAUUAAAUAAAACUCCAGGUGAAAUUCCACCAGGAAGGCAGCUUAUCCUCUUUUUCUGCCACAGAAAGCCACUCUGGAUUUCACUUCUCAGGACUGCUGUGACUUAGAUUCACAGAGGCUGCUCCGCUGUGUUUGAGCAAGUCUGGAAGGUCUUGAUGCAGGAGGAAGAGAUGGAACUGCUGGAGUAUGCUGGUGUGUAUUUGUUCCAGUCCCCAGAGUAAAUUAAACCCGAUACAGGCUCAGCCUUUGCCUCAGUGACUGGGUUUAUUGAUUUGGAAUUGGUAAAAUACAGCAACGGACUGCUCCCAGUCCUCCCCAUUCAUUGUCUGUGUGACACUCCCAAAUGGGUGCAGAGGAAAAGCCACAACAAUCGAGGAUUCUUCUGAGCUGAGGAAAUGCUUGUUGACAAAUUUCCUUGAUUUUAAUUUUGAAUCAUGCUGUUAGAUCAGGGCACAACAGACUUAAUGGCUGAUGAAGUCAUCCACAUUCUCCUUUGUUUCUUGUGGUCAGCUGAAUGUUCACUUGUGGUACUGCAGGACACAAGUUUAUGAAGUUGAUGUGUUGUUAUCAAAGCCUUUUAGUGUGGCCAUUAUACACCUCUUUUUUAUCCUCCUCUUUAGCAGCCAGCCACCUGCAAGAGCUGUUUGUUGUAUCCAAAUGAUUAUGAGAGCAUCCAGUGAGGGUAUAAACAAUUACAGAGCUGGUUUCAUUAGCAAAGGCCAUGCAGAAUCAGUGUCCAGGUCUGAUUUCUUCCUUCUUAGACUUUUAUCACUGUAAUUCACAUUGAGGUGGUUAACUUCUGAUUUACUUGAGCUCAAGUAAAAAUAGAUAGAGGUCCACACACUGACACUAUUCAUGUUGAUGGGAAACCAUUUAUAUUGCUGCCAAAUUGUUCGGGUGUUUUAUUACAGUGGCUGUGAAUAAAAGCCAAGAGUAAAUUUUUAAUUUCACUACCUAUUAUAUGAGAGAAACUGAGCUGUCUUAUAGGAGCAGCCCUAAACUAAUUCACAGCAGUCAUUUAUCUUCUUUGUUUUCUGCAGAGAUUGGCUGAACUUUUUAAUACACAUAGUUUUAUAUGGGCACCAAUUAUAAAAUAUUGUUACCUUUCUUACUGUUGAAACAGUUUUCAAUGAUUACAUGGUGUUUGUCCCAAAGAGGAAAACAGUAGAAGGGUUCUCAUGUAAAAUUUUUAUUCCUGUUGCUUCUCAGAGAAUACUGAAAAAAACCACCAAAAUCUCAUGAAUCUGAGCCUUGGCUAUGAAAUUUCCACAUUUCCGUGGGGAAUAGAUCACAGAUGAAGCAGGCUUUCUCAGGGGGAAUUAUACCUCAUUACUUGGGAAAUUUAAUUGGUAGUGCGAAUCCCACAGAAGCAUCUACAAGAUACCUGAGAUGUCGAGAAUAACCUUAUUUUCUAGUCUUAAAAAGAUAAAAACAGAAAGCCCUGCACACUUAAAUAUUAUAAAUUUAACUAGGGUGCAUCUAUAAGCUGCUGAAGUGAGUGGUUCCACCUGGUGCAGUAUUGAAUGCUGGCAGGAAUCACAUUUCCUGUCUUCCUUCACUCUCCAUGACCACUCUGCCAUGCAGCUUUUAGAAUCUCCUUGGGGCAGGGUCACUCUGCACACUAUUGAGGAGCAUGUGCAUGGAGCAUUGCAUGUGGAUAUUCGGGGAGUGAGUUUACCACCAAAACCAACUGCAGACUUCUCUGUGUCAUCAGAUUCCUGUGAAUUCAUGUCAAAGACAUGGGACUGGGAGACAGUGACUUUCCUAUAUGGAAUAUAUUACAAAAGAUGUGAGUCAGAGGAGCUCAGACACACCAGCAUUCUCUGUCAUAUCACAAAAAAGGCUGCCUAAUACUUAAAACAAUGUACCUUAUUUUCCAUUUACAUAGGCUUUUCUGAAAUACAGUUUACUUUUGCUUUGAAUGCCCUUUAAUGCAUAUAUUGAUCUUGUUACAGGAACAGAGGCCUUUUAUUUCUGUAUCUCUAUGAGGAAAAUCCCCAUGUCUGUGCAGUGUCCCAGCUCAAUGGAUAUUAAAACUGGUGCUGACAAUAUCAUGUCAUCAUCAGUUCUCCGGAACUCACCACAGUGUUGAGUGUUUCUUACAGUACCACAUUCUGGAGGGCAUAAAAUUACCAGUGCAGGAAAGAGGCUGGAUUCUGUGUGAAAAUAAAAGAAAGAUUGUAUUAAAAUAACACAACAUUUAUGACAGCAGAGGCUUCUCAGCAUUCACGGCUGUAGCCGUUGUUGCCUCUUGAAGACAAGUGGAUAUUUGACACCUGUAAAGUCUGUAUCAUCCUUCAAGGUUUUUAUGAUUUCCCUUACUGACAGUGGUUAGCCCACAUCGAUACCUAAAACUGUUCUGAAAAUACCCUUUCUUGUGUAAGCUGUUCAAUCAGGAGAACAAUUGCUGAUUUAGGUACUUUAGACAUGUUUUGGGAUACAGGAGAUGCUUUUGUGACAAAGCAGUUUCAGGAAGGUGCCAUUCUUUGCCCUGAAUUGUGGCUCCAGCACCACUUGCUUUGUACCUGUGCGAAGUACAGGUAGAAUGUCACUAAAUCCAAAAGGCUUCUUCCACAGGGACAGAUCCACUGAGGUGAGAUUGUUUCUUACCUCCACCUCUACUUCGCAUUGCCUCUUUGUGUGCUCUCCAUGGUCACAUAAGCAGUUGUGUAAUUCCUAGAUCCACACUGCGGCUGUUUCUGCCUUUAUAUCAUUUACUCUACUUCAGAGGCUUCUGGGCCAUAAAAUGAAGCUCAUUUUUCUGAGCUACAGAGACAGUUUGCUGACCCCAGAAACUUAUCUUUGCCAGAGGUUUCUGUACUGCAGCAGAAACUAUGUGAACAUUCACUGUGAAACUCUCCCUAAAGGUGUUAAUUCACCUUUGUUGGAGGGCACAGUCCUGGUGGAUAUUGGUGAGAAGGUAGAGAUGGGUGUAGACUUCAGCUGAAUCUGGCAAAGAUGUCUGUCUGUGGUUUCCAAUAGUUUGUGGACAGGUGGCCAUCUUCCAGCCCUGCAACCUAUUUCUGUCAAGUUAGAGACCUCUUCUACAGCUUUUUCUUGUACCUUGUUAGAUUUAGUUGAAGGAUUUGGGGCAGUGCUUACUCAGUGUGUCUGGGGCGAUGGUGGUGCUGGCACGGUGUUGAAGGAUGCAAAUUCCUUCUAGAUAUUUGUGUGUUUACAAGGUUUGUGAUGUCAACCCUGUGUAUUCAGAUGCAGCCUGUGUUGGUUCAUGCCAACAAAAAAUAUAGCCCAUAAUCCUGGAGAAGCAGGAAAUGCAGAUCACAGUGAGGAUACAGGGGCUUUCAGUGCUUUUUUCUCCUUUGCACCACUUAGGUCAGGCUCUUUUCUGCUGGUGUCUAUUGUUUCUCUUCUUUGGGACAGUAACAUAGAGAGUUGUGGUGUUAAAAUUUAAGGUCAGGACCAUCCAGGAUAUGAAAAGAGAUAAUAAUGUUCUAGCAAUAAUAAGGGGGCUGGAAAAGCUAAAGCAAUGAAAUGUUGUGCCACCUUAUCAUCUUUCAUCUUCCCUUCUCUCUGACCUGACACUCACAACAGUGGAAAAAGCUCCUGGGCAGGGUUAUCCAUUGGUAAAUGGAAAAUACAAACUCAGGAGUAAAGAGGCAAUUUUGUGCAGGGGGGUCUCAGUUAUGAGGCUUCAACAUUUUGUUUGCCCCUGGACCUAAACCAGCUUGUGGUGGGAAAGCUGAGGUUGAGCUGCAGUUCUGUGCUUUAGGGAUCAAUACACGAAUGUUGGUAACAAAAUGUUCUGAACAGCGCUGACUCUUGGCUGUCACUUCCAUCUGGCAGCUGGAGGUCAGGGAGGGGUUUCUUGCAGUGGGGGAAGGGACCUUUCUGUAGAACCACAGCACAAGGCACUGCUGGUGGGGGCCUGUGCCCGGGAGUGCUGAUGCUGAUUGAGCCACUGAACUGUUAUCUCUUCACAGCUACACUGAGUGGCUUCCUUGUUUCCCUUACUGCCUCUGUGUGUUGGUUAGGAGCACUGUACUUGCUUUGAAGAACUCGGGAGUGGAGGAGGAAAUGCGCACACGCGCACGUAAGCAUGCACACACACACACAGGAGGAAACUAGGAGGAGUCAGCAAAACAAGGAAGAGUAAGCAGCCAAAAGUCAUAGCAGUGAGGAAAGAGUAGCAUCGUGAGGAAGUCUUAUUAGGGGUCCUUUUUGAGUCAAAUACAUGUUUUAGUGAUGAACCCAGUGAGAGGUUUACCAGUCUUACAACAAACAAAUGGAAAAGGGGAGGAUUCUGGAUGGCACUUUUGUUUGACCAAGCAGGCAAUAUUUGGAUGAAGUAGACCUUUAUUGUUUUGACAAUAAAAUAAUAUAGCUUAAAGCCGUAUUUGGUUUAGUACUCUUCACUGCAGUAUUAAAAUGCCCCUAGCUUCUGCCCUGAAGAGCUUACAAUUAUACAGACUAGGCAGAGGAAUAAAGAAGUGUGUGAAAUGAUGAUGAUUUAUUGUCGUUUUUCAAACACAUGGAAUAGAUCAGUAAUUAUAAAUACUGUCUAUGGUAGUGAUUUUUUGGGGGAGAGAGUGUUGCUUAAAGGGGCUACUUCUAUCACGGCUAAAGACUAUAUUUUUCCAGGAUACAAUAUUUGUGAAGUGCCUCAACUGCCAGAGAUACCUGUUGUAUGUAGUCUUUGCUAUUGUCAGUGACUCAAGCAGACUGACCCUCAGGGAUGUGUUCUGCUCUUGUCCUCUGGAUGUUAUUGAUCCUGCUGCAGUGCUACUUGUACUUGCUCUUUUGAGGUAUUGUUUGACUGGCUGAAUAAUGCAUUCCUGGCUUAAUACUAAUAUGCUGGCACUUAAAACAUUUUAGCUAGCCAGCUUUCAAGGAAGGAGAAUGACCUGACGUUUCUGGAAUGGAAUACUAGGAGUUAGGAUGUAGAGUUAAGCUGUUCUGGGUAUAUUUGUCAGGAGGAAAGAUUAAUGUUUGUGAUGGAAUGAGAAGAGCUUGGACUCCAGGUAUGGAGGGAGGUAAAAUCCACUGCAUGACAGACCUCACAUAAUGCUUUAUUUGCUACUUUAAAUCAUCUCAUCUGUGUGAGGGAUGACAGGGAUGGGCUGUAUGGAGGGUUCACCUCCACCUGCCAUUCCAGCGUGGAAGGGAUCAGACAUAUCUUCUUGGUUCACAUCAGUGUCAUGUCCAACAUGUUUUGUUUUUGCCGUGGGUUACAAACAUGGUUGCUCUGGCCUUACCUUCUGCAAGAAAAGCUCAUAUUGGAGCGUCCUGUGCUGGGCAGUUUAGUGAAUAGGCUAAAUUUGUCACUGCAAGAUUUAUCCAGAAUGCAUUAAAACAUAUUAGUUAUGUGAAAAAAAGACCAAUACCACUUGGUGAGGGUUAUCUGUGCAAUGGGCAGGAGAAACUGAAGAGUUCAGAAAGUUUUGGUCUCAGCUUAUUACCAUUGUGUUGCAGAAAUGCACUUGUCAUAGCUAAGGUAUAAUUAGCUUUUAGGUUAAUAUUAUAGGGCUUUUGAAUUACCUUCCCUAAAAUACACAACAGUUCUUUUUGGUUUUUUGGUUUAUUUUUUUUCCUCCAAAUUAGACACUGCACAUCAAAAAACUGCACUUAUAUGUAGAACACACAUGCACUGUUUUUUCUACCCUUUAUUUAUUUUUCUUUUAACCAAGCAAACACUUGAACACAGACAUAAAAUUAAAUGCAGGAAAAAUGCUGUAGUUAUGUGCAUAAGCAAUAAGUAUAAUUUUGAAUAUGACAGUAUUAUCUGUUGUACUCCAAAGCAGAGAAACUACAUCUUUUCUACUCUGACAUAAGCAACAGUAAAAGUUAAAACAUCAUUUCUCAGGUUCUAUAAACCAAACUGACUGAUGUACUGUCUGCUGAAAUACACAUUGCUUCAAAAUUGAUGCUGCUGUUAGUUUUUAUAUGUCUAAACUUUUAGCAAUUUGUCUUCCUCAAAGACAGAAAAAAGAGGUGGAGGGAAGAGAUUCCUAGCAUCUGCCCAUAAUGGAGGAUUCUUUUUAUUCUGUAUUUCAAAUCUUUCUUGAUCAAACCCAUGCCAUUUUCUGAAGUGCUUCUCAAGAAGGAAAAAUAGUGUUUAGCCUCAAAGGCAAGAAUUAAACAGCUUGCCCUAGAGGGCCCUAAAGUAAUAGAAAGGGCGAGUACUUGUAAUUAUUCAUUCUGGUGUUUCAGGUUUGAAAAAUUUAAAGUAAACCAAUCUGAAUAGUCUUUCUAAAUGGUGAACAGUAGAAUAUUUUCUUGUCAUGAGAAGGAUAGAAGAUCUUGAUCUUAAAGAAGAGGAAGACCUAGGAUAGUUUACACCUGUCUUGCAGUUUACUUAGUUUACUUUUUUCUGGCACAUUCUGUGUUUUAUCUGCUAAAGAGGAAACAUUAUAUUUCUCAUUAAGUGAAGUAAAUUAACCUUCUUACUCCCAUUUGUGUAGUGAAGAUUAAGCUGUGGCUUGCUGGUUGCUUUAAUUCAGGAGACAUGAAGCUGGCAACUGAAGAAGGCUUUCCUACUUUCCCCCUUCUUCUGUUUUUUCUCCUGUUCAAUAAAAAAAUCAUUAUUUGUCUAUUUAGCAUCCUGUGAUGCCUGAAGGGGUCACUUAAGUGCUGUUGCUUGCAUGAGGGAGAGGAUGAGUGGAUUGGAGGGGGGAAGGGCAGGGGAUGUAUUGCCAGCUUUCAUUGGCAUUUUUCUAACAGUAUUAAGAGGCAGAUCUGUGCUAAUCUACUUUGUUUUGGCUGAAAUGGUUUUGGUACUGGUUCGAGAGGACAGCUGGGAGCUACACUGAAGGGGCAGAAACCUCUGCAGCUGCUGCUGCUGAACAUCUGGGGAUAAACCUCUUCCACCAAUGCAGUCUUCACAAGCUCUGCCACCAGAGUUUUGGAGGAAACCUGUCUAUGAAUGAGUGUUGGGUCUCCCUUCAGUGAAGCUAUCGUUCGCCUCUGCUCUGGAGCAGCAGUUGUUGGACAACUGUCAGCUGUCCCUGUCAGCACUGGGACACUUUUAUGUGUGUCUGCAGCUCAAACCUGUUCCAUCUUUAAAGGUAUGUUCUGCUCGAGUGUAACUUCAUAGGUCAAAGCCCCUGCAACUCUUCAGUUUGAAAGUUAAAAUUGCUUGAUGAAGCAAGGAAGCAAAGUUUUGAGAUCUAGAAAGACAGCCUGGAUGGAAAUCUCAGCAGGAAUUUAGCAGCAUGCAUAGGGAAUUUUCUUCCUAAACUGAAAUUCUGCAGAACUUGGUUCUCUUCUCACACUUCUGUAGGUCAAGUGCAACCCAUGGCAGAAUUCUUCAAAAGGUGGGUUCCUGGCAUAUUGAAAACUUCCAGAGGAUGAAAUGGAUUGGUUUGGCAGAUCCAAAGAGCCUGAAUUAAUCCCCUGGUCAGAGCAUCUGAACACUGCUGAUGCGGAACAGCACAGCCAGCAAUGUAAAGUUCACACAGUAUUUUUCUUCACCAUAUGGGCUUCAUUCAGAUUCAACUCAAGGCCAGGACUUCAGUUCAACACUUUUACAUCCAUCCCAAAGCUUAGUCAGAAGUGAAGAUUCCACAUUAAAAAAAUACAAAGGUUUAGCUAUAAUACAGUAUAAACAAAUAUUUGAACUGCUUGCUGUACUACCACUCAGUGAGUCAUUGCUUUCCAAAUGCUACUGGUACGACUGUCAUAAAACAAACCACAUGUUCUUGUGGGGUAGGUAGAAAAAUAUUUUCUUAGCCCUUUUACAGCAGAGUGGUAAACUUGAGCACAGAGAUGUGAAAACCUCAGUUUUGGGGAGCCCUGUGUCACUAGAUGUGUCUACAGGCGCUGAGGAUUUGGGAUUUCUGACAUUAAGAGGCUUUACCAGCUGAAGAGGGAGGUUUGCUGGCUCUGAAAAGGUGACAUGGCAAAGAGAAGAUGAGGGACAAGAGGGGGCUACAAGGGGACACCGGUCAGUGUGUGGCCAUUGUAUUAAAAGGCUCAAAGUGGAUUUUGCACUGAUAUCUAAGGUGGGAUAAUGCAAUAGUUUUGCAGGUAUUUUCAAGGAUUGAAAUGACAGCUUGGUAAAAAUGAAGGCUCUGGGUUGGAAAACAAGAUAAAGGGACAAUGAGAUGUAGUUAGUCCAGGAUCUCGGAUAUGAAACAGUGGUUUUUGUGUAAAGAAUCUCCAGUGGCAGUAUGUGUUUCACAGUUCUUGUACACAUGGAGAUAUAACUGUUUUUUAAAUUAUUCUCAUGGCUUAGAAAUUAUAUUCUCCAAUUUAGUACUUCCACUAAAACCACCCUCUGCUCCUCCUCCCCCUCCAACUGGAGGCACAAAAGGCAAAGACCAUGGAUUGAGAUAUGAACAAUUUACUGGAAACAGCAGUGAGAUAAGAAAAAUUUACAGUAAAAGCAACAAGAGGAAUAAGAAAAUAAAUAAUUCACACAGAAAAACUCCCUGUAAGUAAACAAUACCGGACAGCUCCCUUUACCACAUUUUCUUAACCGGAAGAAACCCCUUAUCCCUGGAAGAGAAUCCCUUUCUGUGCCCCUAGCAAUGAUGUGAGGUGGUGUAGAACAACAUCAGGGUACUAGCCAUGCCCCUCCUGGCUACCACAAAAAUUAACCCUGUCCUGGCCAGAACUAGGACAACAGUAAUACAUACCUGACAGAAACGAAAAUCAAAAAUAAUCCCCAGAUGACAGGUCUGAAUGUGAUGGAGGACAGUAAUCUCUCCCCAUUGUUGACACAGAAGGGAGGAAAAAUGCAGAACCCUGUCCGACUUAUAAGAGUGAUUGGACAGGGGUAAGGUGACAUGAGAAAGAUAAAUUAUAUAUCAACUUUAUAUUUUUUGUCCAGACUAGAAUAGGGGGCAACUGGUUUGGAACAUCCAUAUAGCAAAAGUAGUAACAGUCAAAUUUGUGAAUAAUACCAUGCAGGGAUAGGUUUUAAAGGGAAGUGGCUAAAAAUAGAUGACUUUGUACAAUACAAAAGGCUGAGGGGUGAUCCUUUGAGUGAAAAGCUGAAGUAGCAGUUUGUAAAGUAGUGGAAUAAUAAGAGAAGAAAACUCAUGAAACACAAAGGUUUCUUUCAGAAUUCAGUAGAAUUCUUCAUUUUCUUGGUUACACAAAUGAAGUUAAUGUGGUGGCAGAAUACAGGAAAGAGCCAAAAAGAAAGGUAGAGCAGAAAAAGGAAUAAAGAAACAUGCUUUAGGCCACUAUAAUGGCAUGACAGGAGCACAGGAUAUUACAACUAAGUAUCCAGGAUACCACAGCAACAUCACAGAAAAAUGGCACAGAAAAUUUCAAAAAUUAUCUGUGAAGGAGUAAUUGUCAAAAAGGAAGAAGAAUACAUCAUUAUCCCCUCAGAAAUAGCAUUCAGAUGAGCAGGGUCAGUAAGCCAAGUUCUGGCCUCAAUUAUUGCAUUGGUUUUCACUGCAGAUUUAAUUUGUGUUUGAGAUUUGAAUUCUGCCCAGUGUAAAACCAACUUUCUACUGGUGCUUGGAAGGAACAAACCAUCUUAUGCAUAGCAGUAAAGGCAGUUAUGAAAGUGGUCAAUGUUCAUCAGACAGAUGCAUCUUAAACCAUCUGAGAGCACAGCUAAUGAGAAAUCUGCAUUUAAAAUAUGGGCACAGUGCUCUAAUCAUGGAGAUGCAGGGUGUGAAAGCAUAUCCACUGAUCUAACAGAAGUGUGCUUUGGAGCAAUCAGCUGGGCUCUGAGGAGCCUGUUUGCUUCCAGGGUGGGUAAAAGGCACUGCCACAUCUGGGCUUGUCCCAGUGUCUGCAGUGAGUCAGGCUGAGCACACCACACUGCACGGCACAGACACUGCCCUGAAACUCCUCUAGCAAAGCAAUCCCCAGCAGCUGCCAUCACAGCCACUGCUGCUGCUGCUGAGGCAACUGCAGGUUACCCUCUUUGGCAACAGAUGGGCACCUUGAUUCCUUGAUCUCAGCAAGUCCUCUGUCAGCCCUGGUAAUUCACUCAAGCCAAGGAUUUGUUAAUUGAUGAGUCCUGAGUUCUUUCAGGUCAUCAUGAUUCUUGAUGAUGAGGUUUCAGCCAAGUGUUGGUAGUACUUCCAGCCAGGCAGUACUUCCAGUUAUAGGGGUUGCUCUAGACUGGAAUCCACGACUCCUUUCAGGGAGGUCCUAAGGAACAACACUUGGGUUUCUCAAGGUACAGACCUUGCCAUCCUGCUCCAAAUGCCUGCCAGAUCCCUCCAAGGGUUCCUGUGGAGGCACGUGCACAUCUCCAUGCUGCAGCUACCUUCUGCUUCUGUUCACAAUGGUAUAGACCCAUCAAGCAUCAGGGUGAGACUGGAGCUCUGAUGAAGCUGAGGAACCAUUUAGAAAUGCCUAUGCUCGAAGCAGUAUUGAAUAUGUAAGCAGUGAAUAUAUUACUGAGGAAAUUUUCCAUGUAUUUGUUAGUCAGAUUCCUAACUUGGCGGUUGUGUGAAUACCUCAGCUGCUCCUGGAUGCAUUUGCAGCAGUGAUGUGGCAAAGGGCUUUGUUCCAUGUCCCUCUGUAGAACAGGGCAAUUACAGAAUUAUAUUUUUAUAAAUGUAGGUUUUUCUGAGAUUUAUACCCUACAUUUGUCUCACUGGGACUGGGCUAGUGCAUGCUCUUUCCGUGGCACUAUGCCAGUCACAAACUGGAGCUGGGGAAGGCUGCAGCUGUCUGCUUGUUAUUAAAUGAGGUUUAGUGCAGAGACCAGUGCACAUUGGUGCUCCAACACCCAAACUGUUUUCCAGAUACUUCAUGAAUGGAAGCUUAAAUUCCCACUUUAGUAUAACAAAACUCUGAGUCACAUUUAAUACUGAGAUCCCACGUGCAAAUGAUUUAUGAGUUUACAAAAAGGACUUUUAACUUCUAGGACUCUUAUGAAUUGGAUAGCUAAUUAAUCUGAUUCUAGUGAGUCAAUAAUAAUCUUCUGCUGUCAUGCCUAGCACAAACCAUACAUGUGGUCAAAUACUGGGACAGAUGUCCAGAGAGGCUGUGGAAUAUCCACCCUUACAGAUAUUGAGAACUUGACUGAGCAAGACCCUGAGUAACCUAAUUAAGUUGGUGCUGCCUUAAGCAAGGAAUUGGAUCAGAUGAUCUCCAAAAGUCCCUUCCAAUCUACAUUAUUCUAUGAUUCUGUAAUACAUUUUGCCUAAAAUAUUUACUAAUUAUUUACUAAUUAUUUAUCAAUUCUUUUCCACUUAGAAAAGCAUCUCCAUUUGGAAAACUGAGUUCUGUGCAAUCUGUGGAAGUCUGUGUGUGAAUUGAUUCAAUUAAUCUGAGUUUAGAGUCACCAGGCAGCUGGAAGAGAGCUUCCCAUGAGCAGCUUUGAACUUCCAACUUUCUUUGACUUGGUACCAUCAGGGUUUGUUGGCCUUCAGUAAUACAGCAAGAGCCAUCCACUCUUUGAGAUGUACAAAGGAAAGACGGGUUGGAAGACCAAGUUCAGCUGCUCAUGAGGUUAAAAAUAGUUUAUUAGUCAUUAAAUGGAUGUUUUUUAAAUACUGAGAUGCAUUGUGAAGUCAUUUGUCAGUGUCUUUUCAGUGUUUAAAUGAACAUUCAGUAUUCAUGGUAUAAGCAGAACAAGGAAUGUGCUAAGCUGGGCUGUGAACAUAUAACAUGCUCCAUGGCAACAGCUGUAUAUUUGCUCUUCAUUCAAUACGAUGGAACUAAAGACAAGGAUAUGAGGGAAAAGUUGCCAAACCUUUACCACGAAACUAAGAGGAAAUAUGCUAAUCAAAAUAUACUUGUGUUUCCUGUACCUGUCCUGGAGGUUUGUGCUGAGGUGGUAAUAGAAUGUUCUGCAGGACAGGAUGCUUAGAUGGGGCUUCAAGGUCAGAGUUACCAUCUCAACUGUUCUUUUUGCUUUUAUGUGGCUCAUCCAGAAAGAACACCCACUCUGUGAAAUAAUUUCAGACCUGGUGUUGAAAAUGGGAAAGGUGCAUUGAAAUAACUUGUAUGUAAAGCAGUGUACAAAAUAAAAAUUUUGGUGAAGCAGAUCUGUUUUGAAGUGUAGUGAAACAUAAAAAAUGGGAAAAAUACCCAAAAUUAACUUGUGCUGUAUAGGUGCAUUUUGUACUGGCGCUCACUGCUUGCA